UACGUAGGGUGCGAGCGUUAAUCGGAAUACUGGGCGUAAAGCGUGCGCAGGCGGUUUUGUAAGCCAGAUGUGAAAUCCCCCGGGCUCAACCUGGGAAUGGCAUUUGGGACUGCAAGGCUGGAGUGUGGCAGAGGAGACUGGAAUUCCCGGUGUAGCAGUGAAAUGCGUAGAUAUCGGGAGGAAUACCGAUGGCGAAGGCAGGUCUCUGGGACGGUACUGACGCUGAGACGCGAAGCGUGGGGAGCAAACAGG
rnacentral:rRNA from 1 species